GCUGCCUGCACGGGAGAAGCAGGGAGGCCCAGCUCUACAGUUGGUGUGGGACCAGAGACUCGUCUCUCGCCGUCAUAAAUCCAGUACUGAGAAUCUGGUGAGAUCAGUCUUGUCCCAGCGUCCCCCAGAAAGGACAAAGCGUUUCUGCCUGUUGCGCCCGUUCUGGCCAUCCGGCAGCACCGGGAGGUCUGGCACACCACAGCGGGGCGGGUUCCAGUGUGCUGCCUGCUCAUCUGCACCCAUGGGGAAGCCCUUGGCAGGCACACCAGUCCCCACCAGGGAUGAAAGCCAGGGACUCUGCUCUUUCCAGGGCCAGGAGGCACCAGGCAGCUGCUUCAAGACUAAUGGGGAGCAGGAGCGAAGAUGGAUUCCAGGGAAAGCCUUCAUUGUGGAGCUGGGAACUCUGUCUUGGCUAUGGUAACAAGAUCUACCCAAACUGCUGGAGGCCUGACAAGUGGAGGAAAAGUCAGGUGUUGGCUUUUUGCUAGGAACACUGGCAUAAACCGGAGAGUAUCGUCUGAGCAGAGGCAGAGGAGGAAUUACAUUUUUCCUUCUUGCCCUGAAGGAACCUAUGUACAGGGGCUGAGGACAGGUAGAUUUUGUCUCAACUGUUCAAUUAACUUGAAGUUGCUGGAACAAACUCCAGCUUUCAGCCAUCCAGACCCAACUUUACCUUAAGCAGGAUCCUCCCUGCUCCACCUGCCUGCCUGCUGCCAUGACCGAGCCUGACCAGGCUUGGGAGGGGACACCAGCAGGUCCCUUGGGUGGAAGCAGGAUGUUAGACCUGCCCUGCUGUCCCUGCACUUGCUGCACCGCUGCACAAACAGUGGUAGUGCACAGAGUUUCUCUCUGCCGUCACUACACUGACAUUAGCAUGAUGGCAGGAAAGGGCUGGAAAAUGCCACUGCAGGCACAGCCAGCAAGGGGAAAUGUGACGGGCAGAAACCACUUUCCAAACAAUGCUCAGUAGGUGUAUCAGGCUGGAGAUUUCAGCCUCCUUGACUGGACACACCUCACAGCAGUCAAUUCCCAAGGCUUAGAUAUCA